rnacentral:rRNA from 1 species
CCUACGGGAGGCAGCAGUGGGGAAUCUUGCACAAUGGGGGAAACCCUGAUGCAGCGACGCCGCGUGAGUGAAGAAGUAUCUCGGUACGUAAAGCUCUAUUAGCAGGAAAGAAAAUGACGGUACCUGACUAGGCAGUCCCGGCUAACUACGUGCCAGCAGCCGCGGUAAUACGUAGGGGGCAAGCGUUAUCCGGAUUUACUGGGUGUAAAGGGAGCGUAGACGGCGCUGCAAGUCCGGAGUGAAAGCCCAUGGCUUAACCAUGGUACUGCACUGGAAACUGUACAGCGUGAGUGCGGGAGGGGCAGGCGGAAUUCCGAGUGUAGCGGUGAAAUGCGUAGAGAUAAGGAGGAACACCAGCGGCGAAGGCGACCUGCUGGACCGUAACUGACGUUGAGGCUCGAAAGCGUGGGGAGCAAACAGGAUUAGAUACCCCUGUAGUC